CACCAGACUCCUACGGGAGGCAGCAGUGAGGAAUAUUGGUCAAUGGUCGGGAGACUGAACCAGCCAAGCCGCGUGAGGGAGGAAGGUACAGAGUAUCGUAAACCUCUUUUGUCAGGGAACAAAGACUGGGACGCGUCCCCGGAUGAGUGUACCUGAAGAAAAAGCAUCGGCUAACUCCGUGCCAGCAGCCGCGGUAAUACGGAGGAUGCGAGCGUUAUCCGGAUUUAUUGGGUUUAAAGGGUGCGUAGGCGGAAUAUCAAGUCAGCGGUAAAAAUUCGGGGCUCAACCCCGUCGUGCCGUUGAAACUGCAUCCCUUGAGUGCGCGAGAAGUAUGCGGAAUGCGUGGUGUAGCGGUGAAAUGCAUAGAUAUCACGCAGAACUCCGAUUGCGAAGGCAGCAUACCGGCGCGCAACUGACGCUCAUGCACGAAAGCGUGGGUAUCGAACAGGAUUAGAUACCCCGGUAA
rnacentral:rRNA from 1 species